AAAGAGGCAGCUGGUGACUGGAGGAGUGACGUGUGCUUGUCCUUCAGAAGGAAGGGAAGAGGGAGACUCUCGGCCCCUUGAAAGCUAAGGGCCGCAAAGGAUGGUGACCGUCCAAGUCCAGCACGGGUAAGGAGCAGGUGAGAGGAGAAGCCAGGUGCACGUGAGGUGGGGGAUGUUGCGGGGUGGAGCGGUCCUAGAGGAAUGCGACGGGUGGAAA